UACGAGGGGGGCGAGCGUUUGUUCGGAAUUAUUGGGCGUAAAGGGUGCGUAGGCGGUUCCGCAAGUCCUGUGUGAAAUCUUCGGGCUCAACUCGAAGUCUGCACGGGAAACUGCGGGGCUUUGAGUGUGGGAGAGGUGAGUGGAAUUCCCGGUGUAGCGGUGAAAUGCGUAGAUAUGCGGAGGAACACCGAUGGCGAAGGCAAUCCCCUGGGCCUGUACUGACGCUCAUGCACGAAAGCGUGGGGAGCAAACAGG
rnacentral:rRNA from 1 species